UGUGCACCAGUGGGGUCCCUUGGCCUGGCCUGCGGGAUCAGGCCAAAAAUGGCUCUCUGACAUCUUCCAAGGGGUCUCAGAUUGCAAGAGGGUGCAGGCCAGGCUGAGGGACCCCACUGGUGCACG
rnacentral:pre_miRNA from 1 species